GUGCUUGCUUCAGCAGCACAUAUACUAAAAUUGGAACAAUACAGGGAAGAUUAGCAUGGCCCCUGCACAAGGAUGACACGCAAGUUCGUGAAUUAGAUUUUAUGAUA